CAAGAUGGCGAGGGUUCCGUUACGCAACAAACAUUUGCGAGCGUGAUUUUCUCCCGUUUUGGACGACUGCUCGAUUCAUGCCGCCAUUUCUGACGCUCAUAAAGGCCUCCCAGCCAGCACCCUUCUAUACAAAGCAAGCAGGAGGCUCCUGAGCAAUCUGUGAUGUUGAGGAUGCUGAGGAAGAGUAGUCCCAAAUCAGUUUUUUUUGUAUGAAUCCAGUGAGCAGGGUGACGCCGGUGAGAAGUCACACCAUCGAACUCCCUGACGCAGAGCUGUGCUUUACCAGACCAGGC